rnacentral:sRNA from 1 species
CCAGCCAUUUGGAACCUCUAGAGAUCCACAGAGCAGGUACAGCAUGGGAGUGGCAGUGCCAGGUUCCCCCAUAGUGGAUCACUAACAUGCCUUAGCCUUGACCUGGAGGGAGCACACUGAAGGGGGUGUCACUAGCUCACUCUCCAUGCCCCCUGUUUAUUUUCUUUU